rnacentral:lncRNA from 1 species
AUUAUAAUAUUUGUUGGGUAUAAAAUACCCCCCAGCCGAAGUUCAUGACAGGAAUGACCCUCCAGGGAUUCUACUGACUUCCGACCUUCGACGACAUCUCUCCGAACCUCUCUAGCGGCCGAGCCUCCGCAACACUCCCAAGUUCUGCCGACGGAUAAACCCCCACCAGCGUCGACCAGAUUCUUCGCGACGGACGGACUCCAUCCGAGUUUCCACGAU